rnacentral:tRNA from 8 species
GGAGGUAUGGCUGAGUGGUUUAAGGCAUUGGUUUGCUAAAUCGACAUGCAAGAAUCCUUUCUUUA